rnacentral:rRNA from 1 species
UACGUAGGUGGCAAGCGUUGUCCGGAUUUACUGGGCGUAAAGAGCGCGCAGGCGGUUCGUUAAGUCCGAGGUGGAAUCUCCCGGCUCAACUGGGAGGGGUCUUCGGAUACUGGCGGACUUGAGGAGUGCAGAGGUGAGUGGAAUUCUCGGUGUAGUGGUGAAAUGCGUAGAUAUCGAGAGGAACACCAGCGGCGAAGGCGGCUCACUGGGCACCACCUGACGCUGAUGCGCGAAAGCCAGGGGAGCGAACGGG